UCCCCGUUGAACGAGGCAGUCUCCCGUGAUAUGCAACACAGGACGAGGGUUGCGCUCGUUUGCGGACUGAACCGUACAUCUCACGACACGAGCUGACGACGACCGUGCAUCACCUGUCAUCCGGCUCCCGAAGGCACCCCCGCAUUUCUGCAGGGUUCCGGAGAUGUCAAGUCUUGGUAAGGUUCUUCGGUUAGCAUCGAAUUAAACCACAUGCUCCACCGCUUGUGCGAGCCCCCGUCAAUUCAUUUGAGUUUUAGUCUUGCGACCGUACUUCCCAGGCGGCAGACUUAACGCGUUAGCUUCGGUACGCGAAGGGUCGAUCUCCGAAUACCUAGUCUGCAUCGUUUACGGCGUGGACUAC
rnacentral:misc_RNA from 1 species